rnacentral:lncRNA from 1 species
AUUUGAGGAGACGCAGACACGGUCUUUGAGUCGCAGUUCUAAGGGAAGAGAACACCCCAGCCCGGGAGACACCAGGCAGUCUGGACUUCUCUUCAUAGGAAGCUCCUCUGGACGCUAGCGGAUGCUUAUUCCAUUUACUCUUGUAUGAUAAUCAUGGCAAGAACAUAUAAGCCAAAGAAGAAAAAGUCUAAGUAACUUAUUUAUGACAUAUCAUCUUUAAUAUGUUUUUAAGUAAGUAAUCAUGAACUUAGGCCACUG